AGAGACCCCCCAGAUACGUUCUCCUCUAAGCACUAUCUCUAAACUCUGCUAAAAUUUCAUUCGAGUGCUUCAUUUCUGUUGAAGCAGAAUACUGACUUGAGCGUUGGAGGGUCUUGCCGGAGCACCCUCAACUCCGAUUUAGACUUUUCUUGCAGGUCUCGACGGCAGUCGUGAUCCCCUCGACUCCAGCUUCUCCAGCAUCGACGG
rnacentral:lncRNA from 1 species